UACACGUUUUUAAACAUCCUUUUGUGUGUAAGUGUGCAUUAGUACAUGCUAACGAUAUUCAAAAAGUACAUACCUCAAAGAAAACGAUGACGCGAGUUAUCGUCUCUAACGUUCGAGGACUACAAAAAACACUCGGAUUGUAGGCAACAGUUUACUUCCUGGGAUUAGUGACGUAGAUAAGACCAACAUUAUCAUAGUUCAGCCCUCUCUGCUUUGCUUGGGUACGCCCUCAAAGACGAGGGUGGGGAGCGCCGAGUCAGAAGAGAGCUAAAAUGGCGGAGGUUGGGAGUCCCUGCUUUUACUCUGUUUGCAAACUCUUGUUUCAUUGUUUAAGCGAUUAAAUCUCUCGAGUAGACGCUGUCUCUUUAGAUGCGAGGGCAAAAUAGCACUUUAUGGACUUACACAGAGGACAUCAUGUUUAAUACGGUUCCGGAAAAAUCCAGUCAGAAGUUGUUCACGGAGUUUUCACAAUAACUGCUUCUCAUGAACCAAAGCUGGAUUUGCGCGAGGUCUCCUCUUGAAAGUUGGAUUACUGUGCACUUCUGGAUCACAGGCUAUUCGCAGCUGGACACAUCCUUCUACACUGUAUGCAAACAUGCAACAUCAUAACACACAGUACAAGGAGUCAGACUGGCAUAUGAGGAGCAAAGGAACCCAGGCAGUAGCAUCGUUUCACAAUGUUUCCAUCACCAUCAUCAGUGGAUGCCUUUGCCGUCCGUAGCCUGAGAUUUCAGAUUUGCAGCAAAAAUUUUUUGAUUUUCUCAUUUAUUGGAAU